CCCUUAGAUGUUCUGGGCUGCACGCGCGCUACACUGAUGCGCUCAACGAGUUUUAACCUUGCCUGGAAAGGUUGGGUAAUCUUUUUAAAACGCAUCGUGAUGGGGAUAGAUUAUUGCAAUUAUUAAUCUUCAACGAGGAAUUCCUAGUAAGCGCGAGUCAUCAGCUCGUGCUGAUUACGUCCCUGCCCUUUGUACACACCACCCGUCGCUCCUACCGAUUGGGUGUGCUGGUGAAAUGUUCGGAUCGGCCGUUUGUCGCGGUUUCCGCGUCAUGUGGCUGAGAAGUUCAUUAAACCCUCCCACCUAGAGGAAGGAGAAGUCGUAACA
rnacentral:rRNA from 1 species